GACGAACGCUGGCGGCGUGCUUAACACAUGCAAGUCGAACGGAGCGAAUGAAAGCUUGCUUUUAUGAGCUUAGUGGCAAACGGGUGAGUAACACGUAGACAACCUGCCGACAGGAUGGGGACAACAUUCCGAAAGGAAUGCUAAUACCGAAUGAAGUGUAGGGGAGGCAUCUCCUCUACAUGAAAGAUGGCCUCUAUUUAUAAGCUAUCACCUGUCGAUGGGUCUGCGUCUGAUUAGCUAGUUGGUGAGGUAACGGCUCACCAAGGCGACGAUCAGUAGCCGGUCUGAGAGGAUGAACGGCCACAUUGGGACUGAGACACGGCCCAGACUCCUACGGGAGGCAGCAGUGGGGAAUCUUCCGCAAUGGGCGCAAGCCUGACGGAGCAACGCCGCGUGAGUGAAGAAGGUCUUCGGAUCGUAAAGCUCUGUUGACGGGGACGAACGUGCGAGAGGUGAAUAAACUCUUGCAAUGACG
rnacentral:rRNA from 1 species